UACGUAGGGGGCAAGCGUUGUCCGGAUUUAUUGGGCGUAAAGAGCGUGUAGGCGGCUUUACAGGUCCGUUGUGAAAACUCGAGGCUCAACCUCGAGACGCCGGUGGAAACCGUAAAGCUAGAGUCCGGAAGAGGAGAGUGGAAUUCCUGGUGUAGCGGUGAAAUGCGCAGAGUAUCAGGAAGAACACCCGUGGCGAAGGCGGCUCUCUGGGACGGUACUGACGCUGAGACGCGAAAGCGUGGGGAGCGAACAGG
rnacentral:rRNA from 1 species